rnacentral:rRNA from 1 species
GACGAACGCUGGCGGCGUGCUUAACACAUGCAAGUCGAACGGUGAAGCUCCAGCUUGCUGGAGUGGAUCAGUGGCGAACGGGUGAGUAACACGUGAGCAACCUGCCCCUGACUCUGGAAUAAGCGCUGGAAACGGCGUCUAAUACUGGAUACGAGAAGGGUCCGCAUGGGCACUUUCUGGAAAGUUUCUCGGUUGGGGAUGGGCUCGCGGCCUAUCAGCUUGUUGGUGAGGUAAUGGCUCACCAAGGCGACGACGGGUAGCCGGCCUGAGAGGGCGACCGGCCACACUGGGACUGAGGCACGGCCCAGACUCCUACGGGGGGCAGCAGUGGGGAAUAUUGCACCAUGGGCGGAAGCCUGGUGGAGCGGCGCCGCGUUGGGGAUGACGGCCUUCGGGUUUUAAACCUCUUUCAGCAGGGAAGAAGCGAAAGUGACGGUACCUGCAGAAGAAGCACCGGCUAACUACGUG